AGACAGGGAGCGGCAGAACGGCGGAAGGCACGCGGCGGCGGCACAGCGGACUCUCCCUCCAUUGGCGGGAGGCGGAAAGGCAUCGAGGCGGCUCCCAGAUGACAGAUACGGAGGCCGCGCCCGCAGGCACCUGCCCCAUCGCAGCAGCAGGGGCGGUGCUGGUCGGAUCAUGACGACGGAAAGGCGACCUCAGUGCCCGGAAGAAGAGGGGAAAACUAUGACAAGUAUCAAAUCGACAGUACCUUUCUUGCUGGAAUGCCCAAAGUAAAGUCACUGAGCACUUGGACAUCUGGGCGGGAAGGGUAUUUGAAGUUUACAUGUCUGAAAUCUAUAUUUCCAUCAACUUUUUCUAGCAUAAUGCCUUCAUCACUAGUCGAGUUGAUUUUAGGCUUCCUGUCUAUGAUAGCUAGUAUAGAAACAGUGGAUUCCUGGGCUUUUGUUGAAUCUGUUGCCAUUCCACUUGUUUGGGAAACUCCAAAAGCUGUGAAAAUCAAAGCAAAAUAAACCUGC